rnacentral:rRNA from 1 species
GGAUGAACGUUGGCGGCGUGCCUAAUACAUGCAAGUCGAACGAAGACUGUAGCAAUACUGGCUCAGUGGCGAACGGGUGAGUAACGCGUUGGUGAUCUGCCUUGAAGUGUGGAAUAACGUUUCGAAAGGAACGCUAAUACCGCAUGUGCUCUCGAUUUUCAGAAAGUUGAGAGUAAAGGAUUUAUUCGCUUCAAGAGGAGCCUGCGUCCCAUCAGCUGGUUGGUAGGGUAACGGCCUACCAAGGCUAUGACGGGUAGGGGACCUGAGAGGGUGGCCCCCCACAAUGGAACUGAAACACGGUCCAUACACCUACGGGUGGCAGCAGUAGGGAAUAUUAGAAAUGGACGAAAGUCUGAUCUAGCAACACCGCGUGUGCGAUGAAGGCCUUCGGGUCGUAAAGCACUUUUUGGAAGGAAUAGGAAGGAAUGUACUUCCAGAAUAAGUCUCGGCUAACUACGUGCCAGCAGCCGCGGUAACACGUAGGAGGCAAACGUUAUCCGGAUUUACUGGGCGUAAAGCGCGUGUAGGUGGUACUGUAAGUAGGGCGUGAAAGCUCCUGGCUCAACUGGGAGAGGCCGUUCUAAACUACAGAACUAGAGGAUGGUAGAGGGAGGUGGAAUUCCAGGUGUAGCGGUGGAAUGCGCAGAUAUCUGGAGGAACACCGGUGGCGAAGGCGGCCUCCUGGACCAUUCCUGACGCUCAGACGCGAAAGCUAGGGUAGCAAACGGGAUUAGAGACCCCGGUAGUCCUAGCUGUAAACGAUGUGAACUUGGCGUUGGUGGGUUUAAAUCCAUCAGUGCCGAAGCUAACGCGAUAAGUUCACCGCCUGGGGACUACGGCCGCAAGGUUAAAACUCAAAGGAAUUGACGGGGCCCCGCACAAGCAGCGGAGCGUGUGGUCUAAUUCGAUGCUACACGAAGAACCUUACCAGGGUUUGACAUGCAAGUGGUAGGAAACUGAAAAGUGACCGACCCUUCGGGGAGCUUGCACAGGUGCUGCAUGGCUGUCGUCAGCUCGUGUCGUGAGAUGUUCGGUUAAGUCCGCUAACGAGCGCAACCCUCGCUGUGUGUUAUAUGUGUCACACGGGACUGCCGGUCUUAAGCCGGAGGAAGGUGGGGAUGAUGUCAAGUCAGCAUGGCCUUUAUAUCCUGGGCCACACACACGCUACAAUGGCCAGCACAAUAGGUUGCCAAACCGCGAGGUGGAGCCAAUCCAUAAAGCUGGUCUCAGUUCAGAUUGCAGGCUGAAACCCGCCUGCAUGAAGAUGGAGUUGCUAGUAACCGCAGGUCAGCUAUACUGCGGUGAAUACGUUCCCGGGGCU